rnacentral:lncRNA from 1 species
CUUGAGUUCCACAUAAAAAUUAGAUUCUACCCCUGAGUGGCAGUAGCAGGAGAUUUAGAAAGCAGAAUUGCAACAGAAACUCUUGCUGCUGCUAUUGGUUCUGGCAAGCAAGGUCCUGAAACAGGUUAUUGGAAGUUCCUGGUGAUGGCAGCCAUUCUCUGAUUUCUUGCAUUGAGCUUCCAGUUCUCAUGUGUGACAGGCAGUUGGGAAAGCAGCUGGUGGGGAAUGCAGCAGCUUCUUGACAACCGAAUCACAGCUAGUAUGAUGUAUCCUUGAACUAAACAGUCCAGUGGUCAUCCCCUGACUGCUGCUGCCCCAGCUCAUCCAAUCAUUUGGUGGGCCUCAUGCAGUAAGUUGAAGGUUGUAAGAGCAAAGAUAGAAGGCCUUCCCAAAGAAUGAGGACUUCUGCCUGAGGAUAGCAAAUACCAAUUCUGCAUGGGUUUCCUGGCUUCAGACUCAAGAAUGCAAUAUCAACUCUUACUGGAAUUUCUAUCCUACCAGCUUGCCCUGCAAAUUUCAGACUUGCCAGCCCUUGCAAUUGUCUUCUUUGAUUCCUGGGCCAGGUGCAUAUUUUGCUCCGUGAUGAAGGACAUCAACAAGUUUCUGUUGCAGAAUACCCCCAACAUUCAAACUGGAGUUUGGAGGUGAAGGGAACCUGAAAAAGCUGAUCUACUGGGAUGCAUAAAAUCUGCUUCAGGACUGAUGAAGUUGCAUUUCUGAACUAGUAUUAAAAGGGUGAGAGAGAUUUAUGUGAAACAACUGAAACAUUUCAGUGUCAAAAUACUCCCAAAUACAGAACAACAGAGUAGAUCUGUGUGCUCACUCUUGCAAGAAAGGAAGAAGGAGGAUCUGGAGGAAAUUGAACAAUAAAGCUUCCUAGCUGAAUCCAGUAAAUUUUCCCAACCUCUCCAGAAUAUGAAAAAAAAAAAUGUUGCUUUUCUGUUUUGGUAAUUUUUCACAGUUAUGAAAGAAUUGGUGAGAGCAGUUUAGGAGAUGCAAUGACACUGUAUAACAGAAGAAAAAUAAAAGGUA